UACGGGGGGAGCAAGCGUUGUUCGGAUUUACUGGGCGUAAAGGGCGCGUAGGCGGCCACCGCAAGUCAGUUGUGAAAUCUCUGGGCUUAACCCAGAACGGUCAGCUGAUACUGCGGGGCUAGAGUGCAGAAGGGGCAACUGGAAUUCUCGGUGUAGCGGUGGAAUGCGCAGAUAUCAGGAGGAACACCAAUGGCGAAGGCAGAUCUCUGGGCCGUAACUGACGCUGAGGAGCGAAAGCAUGGGGAGCGAACAGG
rnacentral:rRNA from 1 species